GAUGAACGCUGGCGGCGUGCCUAAUACAUGCAAGUCGAGCGAACAGAUGAGGAGCUUGCUCCUCUGACGUUAGCGGCGGACGGGUGAGUAACACGUGGAUAACCUACCUAUAAGACUGGGAUAACUUCGGGAAACCGGAGCUAAUACCGGAUAAUAUAUUGAACCGCAUGGUUCAAUAGUGAAAGACGGUUUUGCUGUCACUUAUAGAUGGAUCCGCGCCGCAUUAGCUAGUUGGUAAGGUAACGGCUUACCAAGGCAACGAUGCGUAGCCGACCUGAGAGGGUGAUCGGCCACACUGGAACUGAGACACGGUCCAGACUCCUACGGGAGGCAGCAGUAGGGAAUCUUCCGCAAUGGGCGAAAGCCUGACGGAGCAACGCCGCGUGAGUGAUGAAGGUCUUCGGAUCGUAAAACUCUGUUAUUAGGGAAGAACAAAUGCGUAAGUAACUAUGCACGUCUUGACGGUACCUAAUCAGAAAGCCACAGCUAACUACGUG
rnacentral:rRNA from 1 species